rnacentral:rRNA from 1 species
GAUGAACGCUAGCGGCAGGCCUAAUACAUGCAAGUCGAACGGUGUCUUCGGACAUAGUGGCGCACGGGUGCGUAACACGUAUGCAACCUACCUUACAUUGGGGGAUAGCCUUUCGAAAGGGAGAUUAAUACCGCAUAAGACAGUAGCUGGGCAUCCAGCAGCUGUUCAAGAUUUAUCGAUGUAAGCUGGGCAUGCGGCCAAUUAGCUAGUUGGUGAGGUAACGGCUCACCAAGGCAAUGAUUGGUAGGGGAACUGAGAGGUCAAUCCCCAACUCUAGCACUGAAAUACGGGCCACACUCCUACGGGAGGCAGCAGUAGGGAAUAUUGGGCAAUGUACGCAAGUCUGACCCAGCCAUGCCGCGUGCAGGAUGAAGGCGUUAUGCGUUGUAAACUGCUUUUAUACAGGAAGAAACGACUCUUGCGAGAGGCAUUGACGGUACUGUAUGAAUAAGCACCGGCUAACUCCGUGCCAGCAGCCGCGGUAAAAC